CAAUUCAGAGUUUCUGAGCCGAGCCACAGUUCUAAGCUGAGUGCUUAAGUUUAUACACUUUGACUUUUGCAAUCCAUAGGCUUUAAUUGUGAGAUCGGCAAAUGCGCCGGGUGGGGGAGGAGAUGGGAGGGGAGGCUUAAGUCAUAACGAAAAUCAGUGCAGAAGGAAAGAACUUUCCCACCCAAAGGGGAAAUGACGCUGAGAAGUUGAGCACCAGCCCAAGGAAUAAUAAUCUUAAAAAAAUGCAGCUCCCUAGAGUAAGGAAGCGCUUGUGAGCCCAGCCCCUUCUGGGCUGUUACAUAGCUGUCGCCUGAAUUGCUGUAACUUUGUGGGCCAACUUGUCAUUUAGCUCUAGCUGCGGUGGAGGGAACCAUCACACAGUGUAGUGAAGACCCAGGCGAGGCAGGAGGCAGCCCCCAGGGAAGGGAGAUGGCUUUCCUCCAGCACCAUCCUGGCUGGGGCUGGGCAUGGUGGUGAUGGGAUUCCUGAGAAGCCUUCUUGCUUUGAUGGAGGGCACCCUAAAUAGAAGGAGAGGUGUGGGGAAGGGACUCACCCUGGCCCUGAUGUGUUUAAAAGCCACAUCCUUCUAACCUCAUGUGUGUAAAGGCUGAGCUGCUGUUUCCUGCCCAGAGCUGGAUGGUGUGGGCAGGGCGAGAAUGAAAAGUGUCCACUGCCCAGCCAGGCAGUGACUGCACCCCAAGUCCCGGGGUAAGGAGCCUCUGCCCUCCCAGCGAUCCCCUCUGCCUUCCAGCAGCCCUGCCCAGCGGCCGAAAGCAGUGUUCUUAGAGUUCUUGGCAUGUUGUCUCAGAGCUGCCCAGAAAAAAAGCAAAGCACAGAUGGCAGUUGUGGCUUCAUGAGCCCCUUAGUGCCUUCUCAGAAGCUGCCCUCUGCCCUCACCCCCUCUUUGUGUGAAGGAGAGUUCCAGCUGCAAUAAAUGUCCCUCCUUCAGAAUCCUAGGGCGGAGUUCUCAUUGCAGCUCAGCAGGUUAAGAACCUGGCUUGUAUCCUGAGGACUGGGUUCGAUUCCUGGCCUCACUCAGUGGGUUCAGGAUCUGGCAUUGCUAUGAUCUGCGGUGUAGGUCGUAGACGUGGCUUGGAUCCCGUGUGGCUGUGGCUGUGGCAUAGGCCAGCAGCUGUAGCUCCGAUGGAUCCCUAGCCUGGGAACCUCCAUAUGCCGCGGGUGCGGCCCUAAAAAGACAAUAAACAAAAGAAAAAAAGAAAGGAUCCGAGGGAAGGAAGCACCAGGGAGGGAGAUUCGGCUUGGCCCUCUUUGACUCCUACCCUCUGAGGACCUGUGUGGUCGGAUCACAUUCCUCAUCCCGUUUAACCCUCACAACAACCCGGCGAGGAAUAUUGCUGCCUUUUUACAGUCGUGGACACCGAACCUGGGAUGUUACACCACACGGUAUGUGGAGGAGGAAGAAUUUAAAUAGAUUUGGCCAAAGCCAUUUGCUCCUCCCACAAUAUAUUUAGCAGCCUUGAGUUUCUCACCUGUAAAAUGGGGUGAGAGUUUUCUAGAUCUCCAGGAUCCUCUGCAGUGCAUCCUUCUUCUUCCUCCGUCUCUUGCUCUCACCUUUUUUUAGAGAGUAGGACUAGGAUUGGGAUGAGAGACAGGAUAAGGAAUGGCAGUGGCUCUUACUGGAGAAAGGCUGCCGAGUAGAGUUCUAGUGAAAGGACGUGGGGCACAAGUCCUUGUAUGUGUAAAAAUGGUAUUGUAUAUGGCGAUUGUGAAUUCCGCCCUACUUAUAUGCCAUCCACAGGUUAUGAUGCCAGAGGUAGCGACAUUCAUUAGCAACGAAGCUGAAUGAAUUGGUGGCUGUCUUAAUGGGCUCUCUCCUGGGGAUAUGGCUGAUAUUCUGAGGCAGUGUUAUGCACACCCAUUCAGUAGGAGGAGACGUCAGCCGGUACCCUCUUCAGAGGCUGUAAAAUUUUCUUUUGAUCAUCUACGCCCUCUGCUACCCACUCAUCGUGCAUCUUGUGUAGACAGAAACAAAGAUGUUUCUGUCCCGUCCUUUCCCUCAUCUUUUGUAGAGUGUGGCAUAGGACUCAGUCUGCAUCCCAUUUGACUGAUGUGUACAUCAGAAAAUACUUACAGAGUUAACGAACCUGACUAGUAUCCAUGAGGACUCAGGUUCGGUCCUGGCCUCGCUCAGUGGGUUAAGAUCCGGCGUUGCCGUGAUCUGUGGUGUAGGUCGCAGAUAUGGCUCAGAUCCCAUGUACUUUGGCUGUGGUGUAGGCUGGCAGCUGUAGCUUCGAUUAGACCCCUCACCUGGGAACCUCCAUAUGCCAUGGGCGCGGCCCUAGAAAAAAAGAAGACCAGAAAAAUGUCACGAGAGGGUCUUACUGAGCAGUGUGGAUGGAGACGGCUGCAAUGCAGACGUGGAGGGACAGCCAGGGUGGGCAGUCCAGCAGACAUGGGGGGUGGGGGGAAAAGAAAGAGUUGCUUGGAUACAGAUGGACAGAGAGCAGUGAGGGUCUUGGCAGUUUCCAAAUAUUGAAAGCUCCAGGUUUUUAACGUGCAAGUGAUCACCAUCAGGAAGGUGGGGGAGGACUCGGAAGACUAAUUAGGCUCCAGCCUAACUAGAAUCAUUGAAAAGAAGCCUAGAAAGGAGGAUUGGGUCCAAAGGAAGGAAACUUUAGGGCCUGUUGAAGGCAUCCGGUUUCUCUCAUCCCUAUUGAGGAGCCCCUGAGGGUUGUGAGGAACGAGCAGCAUGUCCGCUUGUUCCGUGUUCAUUGGUGCUUAGUCUGGGGCCUCAUGGAUGAACCGAACAACAGAUCUGCCGCAUUCCAGCCCAGGAGUAAUCUCAGAGAUACAAGAAGGCUGGCAGACAGGGUAUUGAUAGGCUAGGAGGAAAAGACUGAAAAACAGCAUGGACUAGAACGGGUGGAGUAGAAAUUGAAAGGAGCCAUGCAAGGGCCCAGGCAGGAGGCCCUGGUGACCACCUGGCUCAGGGGUGAUGGGGGUGGUGGAUGGAGAGGAGCUGGUUUGUGACAUUUGAAGAGCCUUCACUGUGAAGACCACAGCCUGUCCCAGUAGAAGUCUUCCGAGGACAGCUGAGAAUGCAGAACUGAACCAGGACGAGGUCAGGGCCAUAUUCGGUCUGGACAUGACCUCAGCAGCAGCAGAUGCCCUGGAGAAGAGGAAGCUGGCGGUGCCCAUGGGGAACACCCAGCUUAGAUGGUGGGGAGGAAGCAGUGCCAGCCAGGGGCCAGGCCGGCCGGAGGGCGCCUUGAAAGGUCGUGCAGCCUGGGCUGGCUGUGGGUCAUGGGUGAUUGAGUAUAGUGUGCAGUGUGUGCAUACACUCCUACAGUCGGCCAAGGGACGGCGUGUAAGCUCACCUGUAUCUGCUGGUCUUGUCUCAUCCAGAUCCUGUCCACAUGAAAGGAGAAGGGAGAUGGAGAAUGCGGCCUGAGGGAAGGCCCCUGGCUUUGAUUCUGAGAAUUUGGGGGAGCUUUGGUAGAGCAGGAAGAAGCCUGCUUACUGUGUGGAGACAGCAGAUGUUGGCCUCCCUGGGCAAAGUUCAGAGUGAUGUGAAAGAGGACAAGCAGAGAGAAAAGAGCCUUGAUUCCCAUCCCAAACAGUGUUGACUCCUGACUCCUCCAUGUCAGGAGUUGGCAACACCCUCGCCUCGUUACAUAAAGGAUAAGCCUAGGAGCCACCUCUAUCAUCCUUUGCCCUUACCUUCCAUCUUGUGUGUGUAUGUGUGUGUUGUGUGUGCGCGCGCGCGCACGCGUGUAACGCAGCACACUCCAGUUGGUUCUAUUUCCAGAAUAGAUCCAAUCCGCCCUCUCCAUCUCUGCUGCUCUUUCUAUAUCCCCCAUGUCCACUCAAGCUCUCCCUCCACUCUCUGCUCACAGGAGUCAGAGCCAUCUGCUUCAGAUGCAGUUCAGGUCAGCUCACUCUCCGACCAAACACCCUCUGAGGGCUCUGCCGUUGUGCUGAGAAUAAAAUCCAGACCCCCUGGAGGAACACGAGUCCACAGGUCCGACCCACCAGCCUCUGGCCUCAUUUUGUUCAGCUCCCUGUCCUAGCCCCAGACUGCUGGUUUCUACAGACCCAGCUCCUUCCAUCCAGGACGAGGCACAGGGUGUGCCCUGGGCUGUGGUGGAACCAGCCUUGCGGUGGAGGGAGCAGCCAGUGCACACACCCUGAGGAUGGAGAGAAGGAGCCUGUGCUGGCAGGCCUGUGGGGCUGUGAGAGGUGGCGAGGAGGGCAGACUGUCCUCUAGCACCUGGAGGGGGUUAGGCAGAGGGGUGGUUAUGGGGAAUAGACUGUGGGAAGCCAGCCUAGGUAGGAGUCUGACCUGUGGCAUGCCCUGGUGGCUUGUGGAGUAAAUGAUGGCUCUAGAUGUGGAGAGUGGAGGUGGGAAGAGGAUGCGCUCUUGCAGGACUGUCUCUGGGACGGCGCUGUCCUAUGAGCCUGGACCAGCGAAACACAGGGUGGGCGAGCCCAUGCCUCCCUCCUGCUGUACCCCCGGUGCAGUAGGACUGUGGACCCAACAGUCUUCUUCUCCAGGGGAGGGAGAGGGCAGAGGGCUGCCAGUGGAGCAGAGAAGCCGCAUCCAAGCUGUCAUGUGGGCUGUGGUUCAGGGUCCCUGGCUGGGCUGCUGCUGUGGCGGGAUCUCUGGAGUCAAGGGUUUGGAUGCAGAAGAGUGUUCGCCUUCUGCUUGCCGUGGUCCCGCUUCCUUGUUGGCCCUGAGCUGUCAGAGGGUGAGGAUGCUUGUCCUCGUGUCAGCAGGACCAGUCUUCCUGAUCUUUGCUCCCCACCAGACCAGGACCUCAGCCCCGGGAAGCUGGCUUGCUGCCAGUCAACAGUGAGGCUGUCAGGUGACGUUUUUGACUUAGGCUGACAGUAAAGUGCUGGCAUUUUGGUAUCUCCAAGCUGCAUGGCCGUCUUUUCCUUUUUCCAAAAUUUAAAGUCCUUUUUAGACAUUAAUUUUUUUUGAUUAUAAAAGUUGUAUGUGUUUAUAUAUAACAUCAGAAGUUAUAGAGAAGUAAAAGCAAUAAAUGAAUACCACCUAUAUUCCAACUACUAGAAAUAUAUUACAAUUGAGCAUGUUAUUAUUUCUUAUUGAUGUGGAAUAUAAAGUUAUCUAUCUCUAACUAUCCAUCUAUUUACGUAUCAAUCCAUGUGUAUAGGCAUAUGAAUAUCCAGAAUGGAUAUUGUUUAUUAUACCAUAAGUUUUUUCUAGCUAUUUCUUCGUUGGAUAUAAAGACUACAUCAGUUUUUCGCUAUCAUAGAUAAUGCUGUGAUAAAUAUCUUAGAGGCAUCAAAUUUUGUAUUUAUAUCUGAUUAUUUGCUUAAUGUUUAAUUCCUGAUGUGGAAUUUUUAAGAUUCUUGGCAGUACUACCAAAGGACCCCUUGAAUUGUACCAAGUUAUAUACUUUUUCCAGAAGUUAAAGAGAAGAUGUAUCAUUGGUGUCUGACUGCACGGGUGUCUGAUGAACAGGAAGCUCGGGGACACUGCCAGGGGAAGCUCUGCCCACGGCUGUGAAGAGGGUGACUACCUCUGGGCAGACGGCAGCCUAGCACAAUGCUUUGCCAAGUGACCAGGUAGAAGGAAUUAUGGAUUUUAGAAGGAACUGAAUAGAAGGGGCAAAAGACCACCACAGGGCCUGCAUCUUUUAAUUAGAGUCAUUUCAUUGGCAAUAAUUGAUCCCUUAAAUUGUAGGAGUUUGUUUGGUGUAUAUAAGAACACUUCGAGAAUUCUUUUUGUUCAGAGA
rnacentral:lncRNA from 1 species